CUACGGGUGGCUGCAGUGAGGAAUUUUGCGCAAUGGGGGAAACCCUGACGCAGCAACGCCGCGUGAGUGAUGAAGGCUUUCGGGUCGUAAAGCUCUGUCAAGUGGGAAGAACCCGCAUGGUGCCAAUACCGCCAUGCGCUGACGGUACCACUGGAGGAAGCACCGGCUAACUCCGUGCCAGCAGCCGCGGUAAUACGGGGGGUGCAAGCGUUAUUCGGAAUCAUUGGGCGUAAAGGGCGCGCAGGCGGCUUUGUAAGUCAGAUGGGAAAGCCCGGGGCUUAACCCCGGAAGUGCAUUUGAAACUACAGGGCUUGAGUAUGGGAGAGGGAAGUGGAAUUCCUGGUGUAGAGGUGAAAUUCGUAGAUAUCAGGAGGAACACCUGUGGCGAAGGCGACUUCCUGGACCAAUACUGACGCUGAGGCGCGAAGGCGUGGGGAGCAAACAGGAUUAGAUACCCGCGUAGUC
rnacentral:rRNA from 1 species